rnacentral:rRNA from 1 species
AUUCCAGCUCCAAUAGCGUAUAUUAAAGUUGUUGCGGUUAAAAAGCUCGUAGUUGGAUUUCUGCUGAGGACGACUGGUCCGCCCCCUGGGUGAGCAUCUGGUUCGGCCUGGGCAUCUUCUUGGGGAACGUAUCUGCACUUGAUUGUGUGGUGCGGUAUCCAGGACUUUUACUUUGAGGAAAUUAGAGUGUUUCAAGCAGGCCCGCGCCUUGAAUACAUUAGCAUGGAAUAAUAAGAUAGGAUCUUGAUACUAUUUUGUUGGUUUGCGUGUCGAGAUAAUGAUGAAUAGGGACAGUUGGGGGUAUUUGUAUUCCACAGCCAGAGGUGAAAUUCUUGGAUUUAUGGAAGACAAACUAAUGCGAAAGCAUCUACCAAGGAUGUUUUCAUUG